rnacentral:rRNA from 1 species
UGGGGAAUUUUGGACAAUGGGCGCAAGCCUGAUCCAGCCAUGCCGCGUGCGGGAAGAAGGCCUUCGGGUUGUAAACCGCUUUUGUCAGGGAAGAAGUCUUCUGAGUUAAUACCUCGGGAGGAUGACGGUACCUGAAGAAUAAGCACCGGCUAACUACGUGCCAGCAGCCGCGGUAAUACGUAGGGUGCAAGCGUUAAUCGGAAUUACUGGGCGUAAAGCGUGCGCAGGCGGUUUUGUAAGACAGAGGUGAAAUCCCCGGGCUCAACCUGGGAACUGCCUUUGUGACUGCAAGGCUUGAGUGCGGCAGAGGGGGGAUGGAAUUCCGCGUGUAGCAGUGAAAUGCGUAGAUAUGCGGAGGAACACCGAUGGCGAAGGCAAUCCCCUGGGCCUGCACUGACGCUCAUGCACGAAAGCGUGGGGAGCAAACAGGAUUAGAUACCCUGGUAGUCCACGCCCUAAACGAUGUCAACUGGUUGUUGGGAAGGUUCCUUCUCAGUAACGUAGCUAACGCGUGAAGUUGACCGCCUGGGGAGUACGGCCGCAA